UGGGGAAUAUUGCACAAUGGGCGAAAGCCUGAUGCAGCGACGCCGCGUGAGUGAAGAAGUAUUUCGGUAUGUAAAGCUCUAUCAGCAGGGAAGAAAAUGACGGUACCUGACUAAGAAGCCCCGGCUAACUACGUGCCAGCAGCCGCGGUAAUACGUAGGGGGCAAGCGUUAUCCGGAUUUACUGGGUGUAAAGGGAGCGUAGACGGCGAAGCAAGUCUGAAGUGAAAACCCAGGGCUCAACCCUGGGACUGCUUUGGAAACUGUUUUGCUAGAGUGUCGGAGAGGUAAGUGGAAUUCCUGGUGUAGCGGUGAAAUGCGUAGAUAUUAGGAGGAACACCAGUGGCGAAGGCGGCUUACUGGACGAUAACUGACGUUGAGGCUCGAAAGCGUGGGGAGCAAACAGG
rnacentral:rRNA from 1 species